UACGGGGGGGGCAAGCGUUGUUCGGAAUUACUGGGCGUAAAGGGCUCGUAGGUGGCCAACUAAGUCAGACGUGAAAUCCCUCGGCUUAACCGGGGAACUGCGUCUGAUACUGGAUGGCUUGAGUUUGGGAGAGGGAUGCGGAAUUCCAGGUGUAGCGGUGAAAUGCGUAGAUAUCAGGAGGAACACCGGUGGCGAAGGCGGGUCUCUGGGCCGUAACUGACGCUGAGGAGCGAAAGCGUGGGGAGCGAACAGG
rnacentral:rRNA from 1 species